CCAGAACUGGACAUAGUAUUCCAGAAGAGGCAUCCCCAACGUCCUGUACAUCCUCAACAUAACGUCACAAGUCCUGUACUCCAAGGUCUGAACAAUGAAGAUCCCAGUGAUUAAUGCCAAAGCCCUGUUGCCUGGGGAGAGGGUGAUGUUUGACUUUCUUGUACAGCUGCAGUUUGUGUGGUGAAGGUGCUCCCACAAUGUGGUUGGAUCAUUCAGCUGUGGUUUCGCUGGAUAGGGGUUUGUCUUUUGUCGACGAGCGACGUGAAAACUCGGAAAGGACACUCCAUCAUGUAUGAUGAGUGCAAUAAAAAGAUUCCAGUGAUUAAUGCCAAAGCCCCAUUGCCUGUGGAGAAGGUGAUGUUUGACUUCCUGUCCAGCUGCAGUUCGUGUGGUGAAGGUGCUCCCACAAUGUG